rnacentral:rRNA from 1 species
CCUACGGGUGGCAGCAGUGGGGAAGAUUGCACAAUGGGGGAAACCCUGAUGCAGCAACGCCGCGGGAGUGAAGAAGUAGUUCGGUAUGUAAAGCUCUAUCAGCAGGGAAGAGAAUGACGGUACCUGACUAAGAAGCCCCGGCUAACGACGUGCCAGCAGCCGCGGGAAUACGUAGGGGGCGAGCGUGAUCCGGAUUUACUGGGUGUAAAGGGAGCGUAGACGGUUCGGCAAGUCUGAAGUGAAAGCCCGUGGCUUAACCGCGGAACGGCUUUGGAAACUGUGGAACUGGAGUGCUGGAGAGGCCAGCGGCCUUCCUCUUGUAGCGGUGACAUGCGUAGAUCUUAGGCGGCACCCCAGUGGCGCCGGCGGCUUGCUGGACAGUAACUGACGUUGAGGCUCGCACGCGUGGGGAGCAAACCGGAUUAGAUACCCCAGUAGUC